GAUACCGCCCUAGUUCUAACCGUAAACUAUGCCAGCUAGCGAUCCGCCGACGAUCCCUCCGUUAUGGCUCGGCGGGCCGCUUCCGGGAAACCAAAGCUAACGGGUUCCGGGGGAAGUAUGGUUGCAAAACUGGAACUUAAAGGAAUUGACGGAAGGGCACCACCAGGAGUGGAGCCUGCGGCUUAAUUUGACUCAACACGGGAAACCUCACCAGGCCCGGACACCGGAAGGAUUGACAGAUUGAGAGUUCUUUCUCGAUUCGGUGGGUGGUGGUGCAUGGCCGUUCUUAGUUGGUGGAGUGAUUUGUCUGGUUAAUUCCGAUAACGAACGAGACCCCGUCCUGCUAGUUAGGCGAUCCGAGCGCCUCUCGUUCGGCGGGCGGAUCACUUCGGUGUCCCCGUUCGUCGACGGGGGGCUCUUCAAGCUCGGGACCCGGUAUCGUGAUCCGUACUCCGUCCGCUCGCUCUCGGGCGAGUGAGACCCCGGCGGGGCGGCGGUUCUGGCGGUUCGCGCCGUUCGGGGCCGUCGUUUACCGUCGGGAGCAGUGAGUCGGAGCGCCCGGUCCUCUCUCGGGGGGGCCGGACACGCUCGCUACCGGCGGGAUCUAAAGUUGCUUCUUAGAGGGACAAACGGCGCAGUCAGCCGUGCGAUACGGAGCGAUAACAGGUCUGUGAUGCCCUUAGAUGUCCUGGGCGGCACGCGUGCUACAAUGGACGGAUCAGCGUGUUCUACCCUAGGUCGAGAGACAUCGGUAACCCCCUGAAUCCCGUCCGUGGAAGGGACCGGGGCUUGCAAUUGUUCCCCGCGAACGAGGAAUUCCCAGUAGUCGCGAGUCAUAACCUCGCGGCGAUUAAGUCCCUGCCCUUUGUACACACCGCCCGUCGCUACUACCGAUCGAAAGGUUCGGCGAGGACCUCCUACCGGCUCGCCGGCGAUCCGCUCCGUGCGGGGCCGCCGGUGCAGCAUGCGUUUUUGUGACGCGGAAAGUCGACCGAGCCCGAUUUUUUAGAGGAAGUAAAAGUCGUAACAAGGUUUCCGUAGGUGAACCUGCGGAAGGA
rnacentral:rRNA from 1 species